UACGUAGGGUGCAAGCGUUGUCCGGAAUUAUUGGGCGUAAAGAGCUCGUAGGCGGUCUGUCGCGUCGGCUGUGAAAGUCCAGGGCUCAACCCUGGGAUGCCGGUCGAUACUGCCGGACUAGAGUUCGGAAGAGGCGAGUGGAAUUCCCGGUGUAGCGGUGAAAUGCGCAGAUAUCGGGAGGAACACCUAUGGCGAAGGCAGCUCGCUGGGACGUUACUGACGCUGAGACGCGAAAGCGUGGGGAGCAAACAGG
rnacentral:rRNA from 1 species